rnacentral:rRNA from 1 species
GACGAACGCUGGCGGCGUGCUUAACACAUGCAAGUCGAACGGAAAGGCCCUGCUUUUGUGGGGUGCUCGAGUGGCGAACGGGUGAGUAACACGUGAGUAACCUGCCCUUGACUUUGGGAUAACUUCAGGAAACUGGGGCUAAUACCGGAUAGGAGCUCCUGCUGCGUGGGGGGGGUUGGAAAGUUUCGGCGGUUGGGGAUGGACUCGCGGCUUAUCAGCUUGUUGGUGUGGUAGUGGCUUACCAAGGCUUUGACGGGUAGCCGGCCUGAGAGGGUGACCGGCCACAUUGGGACUGAGAUACGGCCCAGACUCCUACGGGAGGCAGCAGUGGGGAAUAUUGCACAAUGGGCGGAAGCCUGAUGCAGCAACGCCGCGUGCGGGAUGACGGCCUUCGGGUUGUAAACCGCUUUCGCCUGUGACGAAGCGUGAGUGACGGUAAUGGGUAAAGAAGCACCGGCUAACUACGUG